GAGCGGGAAAGCUCAAUUUGAAAUCUGGCAGCCUUGCUCUCUGAGUUGUAAUCUAAAGAAGUGUUGCCUGCGCUGGACCGUGUACAAGUCUCCUGGAAUGGAGCGUCACAGAGGGUGAGAAUCCCGUCUUUGACACGGACUGCCAGUGUGAUGUGGCGCGCUCUCAAAGAGUCGAGUUGUUUGGGAAUGCAGCUCUAAAUGGGUGGUAAACUCCAUCUAAAGCUAAAUAUUGGCGAGAGACCGAUAGCGAACAAGUACCGUGAGGGAAAGAUGAAAAGAACUUUGGAAAGAGAGUUAAACAGUACGUGAAAUUGUUGAAAGGGAAACGCUUGAAGUCAGUGACAUUGACCGGGGAUCAGCCUGCCUCUUUUGGUGGGUGCAGUUCCUGGCUGAUGGGCCAACAUCAGUUUUGAGUGCUGGAGAAGGGUGUUGGGAAUGUGGCACCUUCGGGUGUGUUAUAGCCCAGUGUCGGAUGCAGCAUUUGAGACUGAGGAAUGCAGCACGCCGUAAGGCCUGGUUUCGACCAAGAUCGUGCUUUGGAUGUUGGUGUAAUGGCUUUAAUCGACCCGUCU
rnacentral:rRNA from 1 species